AUCUGCCUGGUAGUGGGGGACAACGUCUCGAAAGGGACGCUAAUACCGCAUACGUCCUACGGGAGAAAGCAGGGGACCUUCGGGCCUUGCGCUAUCAGAUGAGCCUAGGUCGGAUUAGCUAGUUGGUGAGGUAAUGGCUCACCAAGGCGACGAUCCGUAACUGGUCUGAGAGGAUGAUCAGUCACACUGGAACUGAGACACGGUCCAGACUCCUACGGGAGGCAGCAGUGGGGAAUAUUGGACAAUGGGCGAAAGCCUGAUCCAGCCAUGCCGCGUGUGUGAAGAAGGUCUUCGGAUUGUAAAGCACUUUAAGUUGGGAGGAAGGGCAGUAAAUUAAUACUUUGCUGUUUUGACGUUACCGACAGAAUAAGCACCGGCUAACUCUGUGCCAGCAGCCGCGGUAAUACAGAGGGUGCAAGCGUUAAUCGGAAUUACUGGGCGUAAAGCGCGCGUAGGUGGUUUGUUAAGUUGGAUGUGAAAUCCCCGGGCUCAACCUGGGAACUGCAUUCAAAACUGACAAGCUAGAGUAUGGUAGAGGGUGGUGGAAUUUCCUGUGUAG
rnacentral:rRNA from 1 species